ensembl:snoRNA SNORA62 Small nucleolar RNA SNORA62/SNORA6 family
ACCGCGCAUUGUUAGAGCUUGGAGUUGAGGCCACUGGUUGGCUGAUGAAGUCACAAGUGUAGGCAGUGUGCUACAUGAGGGACAAGUUUUUCGCUACCACCACAACUGUCUCUGGCACAAUGAGUGGAGUCUGAUAGUAAUACUUGCUACAAGU